rnacentral:lncRNA from 1 species
GUGGGAAGCGGAGAAGACAGAGCAUGGUUGAUAUUCCACCAAAUGGAUAAGAGGCAGACAAAGUUUGGCACGUUUAUGCUUUCAGUGGUUGACGGACAUGAAUGAAAGAGUAAACACAGUUUUUAGCGUAGUAAGGUAUCACAAAUGAAUAACUCAGUAUUAAUUAUCCACUGCGCGAAAUCUCCAUGAGGGCACAAGUCUGCAUGACAAUUUUUGCGUAAAGCGAUGCAGCGCGGGAGAGCGGACUUGUAGCCUGGCAGAACGGCUAGGGGAUACUGAGCAGGAGAAACGAGGGGGAACUGAAGGCGCCGUUUGGAAGGAAUAACCCUAGCAGGGAGGAGGAAAGGAGGAAGAACGUGUUGAAUUUCAUAUAUUUUCUUGUCAGUUGGAGGUUAACUCCUGAAGGAGGCGCCAGCAGCGACACCAUCCCUCUACCUACCAAACUGAGAUGCAUUCCUAACCCUCAGUGCUUGUGUGACGGGUGGUGGGGGUGACGAAGAUGGAUGAGGAUUUCCUGAGCAGUACCCUGACUGCCUCUGAAUCAGACCUGUCCUCGUCUUCUUUCUUGACAUUGGAGGCGAAGGCAGCCUUCAUCUUUGUCCUCAUUCUCUUCCUCGUCCUGGGUCUCCUGAUCGUACGCUGCUUCCGUAUCUUACUCGACCCUUACCGCAGCAUGCCCUCCUCUACCUGGACUGACUACAUGGAGAAGGACACCUUUGAUUACCGUAUUGCCUGAGGGGUCCUUCCUUAUCAAGGCUUCUGCACUGCAUUGCCUGAGGGGCUGGUGACCAGAGCGGUUGCAUUGCCAAAGAAACAUCCAAGAGAACUAACUAAGAGAACUUCCACGUGUCCGGAUUCAGCACGAUGAAAAACCUUUGCUUGAGGAGCUCUACUAUGAGGCAGGGACGACGGCAGUGGGAGGUUCUUCACCUCUGCCACAGGGGGAUCACAGUGUUUCCUAAGCCCUUAAACAUUUCAGAUAUACUGUAAUGCCAGAGGGGUCCUUCACUGGGGCUACAAGGGUAGCUGGUGUAUUGCCCGAGGGACAGUCUACAGUAACUGAAAUAGAAAAUCUGUUUUCCUCUUAAAGGAACAGGGGGAGCCUGUCAUCUCCUGAAGCAAGCGAUAUAACUGGUCCAGUGACUGAGCACAGCUUAAUCAUUAGAGAAGUCCAUCUUUUUGUACACAGGCCUUUCAGAUUUGUGUUCUAAAAUGGCCUAGGUUGACUGUACUUAUUCAGUCAGUCACACACACAGUCAGUCAGUCAGUCAGUCAGUCAGACACACACACACACACACACACACACACACACACACACACACACACACACACACACACACACACACACACACACACACACACACACACACACACACACACACACACAAUCAGACUACCCCGGCUCCGAUGCUCGUCUUAUGUGGCAGGGCUUGCAAACUAUUACAGACUACAAAGGGAAGCACAGCCGCGAGCUACCCAGUGACACGAGCCUACCAGACGAGCUAAAUCUUCACUGACAUUUUCAACAUGUCCCUGAUUGAGUCUGUAAUACCAGCAUGUUUCAAGCAGACCACCAUAGUCCCUGUGCUCAAGAAUACAAAGGCAACCUGCCUAAAUGACUACAGACCCGUAGCACUCACAUCCGUAGCCAUGAAGUGCUUUGAAAGGCUGGUAAUGACUCACACAUGACUCACUCACAUAUCCCAGAAACCCUAGACCCACUCCAAUUUGCAUACCGUCCAAACAGAUCCACAGAUGAUACAAUCUCUAUUGCACUCCACACUGCCCUUUCCCACCUGGACAAAAGGAACACAUAUGUGAAAAUGCUCAGCGUUCUACAGCUCAGUGUUCAACUCCAUAGUACCCUCAAAGCUCAUCACUAAGCUAAGGAUCCUGGGACUAAACACCUCCCUCUGCAACUGGAUCCUGGACUUCCUGACGGGCCGUCCCCAGGUGGUAAGGGUAGGUAGCAACACAUCUGCCACGCUGAUCCUCAACACUGGAGCCCCCCAGGGGAGCGUGUUCAGUCCCCUCCUGUACGCCCUGUUCACCCACGACUGCAUUGCCAGGCACGACUCCAACACCAUCAUUAAGUUUGCAGAUGACACAACAGUGGUAGGCCUGAUCACCAACAACGACGAUACAGCCCAUAGGGAGGAGGUCAGAGACCUGGCCGGGUGGUGCCAGAAUAACAACCUCUCCCUCAACGUAACCAAGACUAAGGAGAUGAUUGUGGACUACAGGACAAGGAGGACUGAGUACGCCCCCAUUCUCAUCGACGGGGCUGUAAUGGAGCAGGUUGAGAGCUUCAAGUUCCUUGGUGUCCACAUCCCCAACAAACUAGAAAAGUCCAAACACACCAAGACAGUCGUGACGAGGGCACAACAAAGCCUAUUCCUCCUCAGGAAACUAAAAAGAUUUGGCAUGGGUCCUGAGAUCCUUAAAAGGUUCUACAGCUGCAACAUCGAGAGCAUCCUGACUGGUUGCAUCACUGCCUGGUUGGUACGGCAAUUGCUCGGCCUCUUACCGCAAGGCACUACAGAGGGUAGUGUGUACGGCCCAGUACAUCACUGGGGCUAAGCUGCCCUCCAUCCAGGACUUCCACACCAAGCGGUGUCAGAGGAAGUCCCUAAAAAUUGUCAAAGACCCCAGCCACCCCAGUCAUAGACUGUUCUCUCUACUACCGCAUGGCAAGUGGUACCAGAAUGCCAAGUCUAGGACAAAAAGUCUUCUCAACAGUCCUGAACAG